rnacentral:rRNA from 1 species
UACGUAGGUGGCAAGCGUUGUCCGGAUUUACUGGGCGUAAAGAGCGCGCAGGCGGUCGUUCAAGUCGCGUGUGAAAGCCCCCGGCUCAACUGGGGAGGGUCACGCGAUACUGAUCGACUCGAAGGCAGGAGAGGGUAGUGGAAUUCCCGGUGUAGUGGUGAAAUGCGUAGAUAUCGGGAGGAACACCAGUGGCGAAGGCGGCUCACUGGGGAUUUUCUGACGCUGAGGAACGAAAGCCAGGGGAGCGAACGGG